UCUUUCUCGGGGUCGCACCCGGAGAGUUUCCAGGACUCUACCAGUCUUGACUACGGGAGGGAGAGUCAAGCAGAGGCCUAGUCAUUCCAUUCCUAGCUUGGCCAGUGGCUAGCGAGUGGAAGGCCAUCUGCUGCACGU
rnacentral:snoRNA from 1 species